rnacentral:lncRNA from 1 species
GCUAGGCAAGUGCUCUACCACUGAGCUACAAACCCAGCCCUCUGUGUUUGCUUUGGAAGGAGUGUGGGUGGAGAUCUCCCAUUUGGAGUCAAACAGAGCCCCAGAGAACAUGUCCCCUCUGUGUUCUGUGUGUGCAGUAGCGGGAGCUCCAAGGUUCCCGACAGAAAAACAAAAUCCUGAAUUCCAGAGUUUUAAACACAACUACACUUCAAGACACACUUGCUACCCAGCAGGAGAGAUAAUUAUAAGGAAAGCCAUAUCAGUUAUAGACAAAAUAAGGAAAGUAUAAUUUUUUUUUUACAGCCUGGCUACAAUUGAAACACAAACAGCUUUGUGACUAUGAUGUGGAAAAAGGUGGAAGAUAUUCACUCUUAUGGCAAUGCACAAAAUAAAAACAAGAACACAACCCCUUAAGAUGUUGUAAAACUCAAACUUGUCCAUGAAACACUGAAGGGUGGUGGAUGCAAAGUUCAGAAAAUGAAGUCAUUGAGAAGUGACAGAUUCUGGAGGCACAGGUGGAGGAGAAAGCUUGCCAGACUGACAGAGAGGUACUGGCAAUAUUGGUGGAGAGCAGGGAGAAUGGAGUGUAGAAACCUCCCAAAUGCAGCAGAAAUGUACUUGACCUAGUCGGGCAUGGUAUGGUCCAUGCCUGUAAUCUCAGUGGCUAAAAAGUAGAAGAAUACUCUCUAGUCUUAUUUAUUCUUGAGGAGAUUGGAAAUGAGGGGCUCUUCUACUUCUGAUUCAAAAUGUGAAACUGAGUGCCAACCCACACCAUACUCCAGGGUCACACAUUGAAAAAAAUGAAGGAAAUUAGACUCGGGCAGGAACAGCUGUGGCAUUGUGAGGAAAGGCUAACCAGCAGUAAAUUCAAUCUUAAACAUGGCUUCCUUGUCCAAGAUUAGCUAGAUAGUUGGUGAAAUCCAAAUGAUCACCUCCCUACUUUAUCAAUGAU